CCUACGGGAGACAGCAGUGGGGGAUAUUGGACAAUGGGGGGAACCCUGAUCCAGCGACGCCGCGUGAGUGAAGAAGGAUCUCGGUAUGUAAAGCUCUAUCAGCAGGGACGAAGAAAUGACGGUUCCUGAGGAAGAAGCCCCGGCUAACUACGUGCCAGCAGCCGCGGUUAUACGUAGGGGGCAAGCGUUAUCCGGAAUUACUGGGGGUAAAGGGAGCGUAGACGGUGAUGUAAGUCUGGAGUGAAAGGCGGGGGCCCAACCCCCGGACUGCACUGGAAACUAUGUGACUGGAGUGCAGGAGAGGUGAGCGGAAUUCCUAGUGUAGCGGUGAAAUGCGUAGAUAUUAGGAGGAACACCAGUGGCGAAGGCGGCUUACUGGACUGUAACUGACGUUGAGGCUCGAAAGCGUGGGGAGCAAACAGGAUUAGAUACCCGAGUAGUC
rnacentral:rRNA from 1 species